rnacentral:lncRNA from 1 species
GCCGGGCGUGGUGGCACGCGCCUAUAGUCCCCGCUCCCCCAGAGGCAAAGGUUGCAGUGAGCCGAGAUCGUGCCACUGCACUCCAGCCUGUGCACCAGAACAAGACCCCGUCUCCAAAAAAAGAAAACGAAAAAGAGUCUAACAAAUCUGUGAGUCACGUUAUUGGUUAAGAUAGCAGAUGAAGCACUUAGUGGGAGAGAUGGGACAAUAAUUUUUUUUUUUUUUUGAGACGGAGUUUUGCUCUUGUUGCCCAGACUGGAGUGCAAUGGCAGAAUGUCGGCUCACUGCAACC